rnacentral:rRNA from 1 species
UACAUGUGGGGCAAGCGUUGUUCGGAAUUACUGGGCAUAGAGGGUGCGUAGGUGGCUUGUUAAGUCAGGGGUGAAAGUUUUCGGCCCAACCGGAAAAUGGCCUUUGAUACUGGCGAGCUCGAGUGCGUGAGGGGUAACCGGAACGAGCAGUGUAGCGGUGAAAUGCGUAGAUAUUGCUCGGAAGGCCAACGGCGAAGGCAGGUUACUGGUGCGCAACUGACACUGAGGCACGAAAGCGUGGGGAGCAAACAGG